CCCCAAAAGCAUAAGGGUCCAACCGGUUGACAUCAACCUUAGAGAAUAGUCGGAUAAUAAACCCACAUUCGUACGUGAUCGAGGACCCCUCUACGAUCUUGGCCUUAGAGUCUAACGGGGCUCUAAACUCAUUGAUCCCCUUCAUUUUGGCUUCAGUAAUCAUUUUCGCCUUCUCGACCUCGGCACGAGCCUCGACCAGCUUCAACUUCUCCCUAGCAGCCUUAAUUGUUGCC
rnacentral:lncRNA from 1 species